UACGUAGGGUGCGAGCGUUGCUCGGAUUUACUGGGCGUAAAGCGUACGCAGACGGUGAGAAAGGUCGGAUGUGAAAGCCCCGGGCUCAACCCGGGAACUGCAUCCGAAACCAUCUCGCUCGAGUGUGGGAGAGGGAAGCGGAAUUCCUGGUGUAGAGGUGAAAUUCGUAGAUAUCAGGAGGAACACCGGCGGCGAAGGCGGCUUCCUGGCCCAUUACUGACGUUCAGGUACGAAAGCGUGGGUAGCAAACAGG
rnacentral:rRNA from 1 species